AGGAUGAACGCUAGCGGCAGGCUUAACACAUGCAAGUCGAGGGGUAACAGAGAAAAGCUUGCUUUUUUGCUGACGACCGGCGCACGGGUGCGUAACGCGUAUGCAAUCUACCUUUUGCUAAGGGAUAGCCCAGAGAAAUUUGGAUUAAUACCUUAUAGUAUGAUGACUUGGCAUCAAGAUAUCAUUAAAGGUUACGGCAAAAGAUGAGCAUGCGUUCUAUUAGCUAGUUGGUGUGGUAACGGCAUACCAAGGCAACGAUAGAUAGGGGUCCUGAGAGGGAGAUCCCCCACACUGGUACUGAGACACGGACCAGACUCCUACGGGAGGCAGCAGUGAGGAAUAUUGGACAAUGGAGGCAACUCUGAUCCAGCCAUGCCGCGUGCAGGAAGACUGCCCUAUGGGUUGUAAACUGCUUUUAUACAGGAAGAAACANCUCUACGUGUAGAGAU
rnacentral:rRNA from 1 species